GAAUCAUGCAGAGAUGUGUGCGUCUUCGGACUGGUGUACAGGUGGUGCAUGGUUGUCGUCAGCUCGUGUCGUGAGAUGUUGGGUUAAGUCCCGCAACGAGCGCAACCCUCGUUCCAUGUUGCCAGCACGUCAUGGUGGGGACUCAUGGGAGACUUCCGGGGUCAACUCGGAGGAAGGUGGGGAUGACGUCAAAUCAUCAUGCCCCUUAUGUCUUGGGCUUCACGCAUGCUACAAUGGCCGGUACAGAGGGUUGCGAAACUCUGAGGUGGAGCUAAUCCCAAAAAACCGGUCUCAGUUCGGAUUGGGGUCUGCAACUCGACCCCAUGAAGUCGGAGUCGCUAGUAAUCGCAGAUCAGCAACGCUGCGGUGAAUACGUUCCCGGGCCUUGUACACACCGCCCGUCAAGUCACGAAAGUUGGUAACACCCGAAGCCGGUGGCCUAACCC
rnacentral:rRNA from 1 species